AUCCAGUUGAAGAGUCCGAAACAGGACGAAACACACUUCCUGAAU
rfam:Schistosoma mansoni strain Puerto Rico chromosome 1, complete genome